rnacentral:misc_RNA from 1 species
UUUUCCACAAUAAAAAAACACUUAAAAUGUUUAUAUUUAGGGCUCAAAGUCUCAAACAUCCAUUUGAUGACCUCAACUGGCCACAAAAUAUUUUGAAUAUCAUAAUUUAGUUUUGUUGCUCAAACAACCUUGCUAUUAACAACAAUUCUCUAAAACCAAGAGAGAGUGAAGAAGGUCCGCAUCUUUGAUGGGGCCAUAGUGAAACUUUAGCCAUGAUGGAUUCACCUAUGGCUGCGUUGAGAAGGAAGAGUG